UUAUAUCUUAAAUAUUCUUUGUUGCCUUCCUAGGUUCGCCAACUUCUAUUUAAGAAGCUGUUUCCAAUAAGCUCAUCUUCAAUGCAGCCAAUGAAGAGUACAUCAGAUCUAGCAAUGGGACCCAAAUUCCUACAGACAUUUAACCCAUUAAACCAAAAAGGUACAUAUACACUUUCUGGUAUAGAAGAGUCGACAAGCGACAUUACACUUACUCAGUUUUUAUCAUCUGAAUGAUCCCGGGCUACACAAAAUCAAAUAAGAAUCAUUCUGUACAACUUAACAUUUGCUGCUAAAUGUCAGGAAAGAAAUUGUCCUUGGGAUUAGGUGACAUUUAUGGGAUCAUUGUUAGUCUUAUUAGAUUGUAAGGUUGGAACCAAGACAAGGGGACCACAGAUGCUCUGCCAAUGUCUCAUUUUAUCUUCAAUCAGGUGGAUAUUGUUCCUCUCUGGAAUCAUAGCUAAUUGAAAAUCAUAGCCUAAAAAAAAAGUAGAUGGCAUUGUGAUGAUAUGAUGGGGCAGAGGCUCAUAUAAUUUAGUACUUCCUUUGCCUUGUCAAUGUCUUUAAAAAUAGAGAUCCUGACUUUAAAAUUAAUCUCAUAUCACUGGGACUGGCAUUAAGGAAUGAAAAAUAGAUAAACAGAUGAGUCUGUACUUAUUUCCUCUUAGAAAACAAUUAAGUUAAAUGGCACUCCCCAUCACCCACACCCACACACCAUGAAUAUGUUAGCCCCUAUUUGAACCAAUUUCUAUAAUUGAGGGUUCAUGUAGACAGACAGCCUUUUUCUGUAAGUGCCAUAUUUUCUUUAGAACAAAGGUAACCUGGAUAGAGCAUGGAUUCAAAUGGCACAUUUUAUUUUUAUUUUUUAUAUUUUUUGCUGAGGCAAUUGGGGUUAAGUGACUUGCCCAGGGUCACACAGCUAGGAAGUCUUAAGUGUCUGAGGCCACAUUUCAACUCAGGUCCUCCUGACUGAGGGGCUGGUGCAUAUCCAUUGCACCACUUAGCUUCACCCAAGUGACACAUUCUAGAGCAGGAGUUCUUACUUUUUGGUUUGUGUGAUGAUCUCCUUGACAAUCUGGUGAAAUCUAUGGACCCUUUCUUAGAAAAAUGUUCUUAAAUGUAUAAAACAAAAGAUAUAGAAUCACAAAGUAAAUCAAUUAUAUUGAUUAUUUUUUAAAACAUCUUUUAAGUUUAUAAAAUACAGGUUCAUAAAACACCUGGACUAGAGACAUAAUUUGUCUGUAUCAGAAUGGUGAUAUUUCCUUGAGAUACCAAUUCAUUAAGAAUCUAAGUCUCUGCUGAUACCACAGAAUGAAAGUAGUAUCUAUAGAUAUAGGACACUAGCUAUAGGACAUCAGCCCCCUAAAAACAUACACUCUCUUUCUAUCUCUCUAACUCUGUCUCUCUCUUCCUCCUUCCUUUCUUUCUUUGUCUUUGUCUUUGUCUCUCUCUGUUUCUCUGUUUCUGUCUCUCUGUAUCUCUCUGUCUCUGUCUCUCUCUCUCUCUCUCUCUCUCUCUCUCUCUCUCACACACACACACACACACACACACA
rnacentral:lncRNA from 1 species